rnacentral:rRNA from 1 species
UUGAACGCUGGCGGUAUGCUUUACACAUGCAAGUCGAACGGCAGCACGGGGGCAACCCUGGUGGCGAGUGGCGAACGGGUGAGUAACAUAUCGGAACAUAUCCGGAAGUGGGGGAUAGCUCGGCGAAAGCCGGAUUAAUACCGCAUACGAUCUGAGGAUGAAAGCGGGGGACCGUAAGGCCUCGCGCGAUCGGAGCGGCCGAUGUCAGAUUAGGUAGUUGGUGGGGUAAAGGCUCACCAAGCCGACGAUCUGUAGCUGGUCUGAGAGGACGACCAGCCACACUGGGACUGAGACACGGCCCAGACUCCUACGGGAGGCAGCAGUGGGGAAUUUUGGACAAUGGGCGCAAGCCUGAUCCAGCAAUGCCGCGUGCAGGAAGAAGGCCUUCGGGUUGUAAACUGCUUUUGUACGGAGCGAAAAGGCUCUCUCUAAUACAGGGGGCUCAUGACGGUACCGUAAGAAUAAGCACCGGCUAACUACGU